rnacentral:rRNA from 1 species
GAUGAACGCUCGCGGCGUGCCUAAUACAUGCGAGUCGAGCGAACGGACGAGAAGCUUGCUUUUCUGAUGUUAGCGGCGGACGGGUGAGUAACACGUGGAUAACCUACCUAUAAGACUGGGAUAACUUCGGGAAACCGGAGCUAAUACCGGAUAAUAUUUUGAACCGCAUGGUUCAAAAGUGAAAGACGGUCUUGCUGUCACUUAUAGAUGGAUCCGCGCUGCAUUAGCUAGUUGGUAAGGUAACGGCUUACCAAGGCAACGAUGCAUAGCCGACCUGAGAGGGUGAUCGGCCACACUGGAACUGAGACACGGUCCAGACUCCUACGGGAGGCAGCAGUAGGGAAUCUUCCGCAAUGGGCGAAAGCCUGACGGAGCAACGCCGCGUGAGUGAUGAAGGUCUUCGGAUCGUAAAACUCUGUUAUUAGGGAAGAACAUAUGUGUAAGUAACUGUGCACAUCUUGACGGUACCUAAUCAGAAAGCCACGGCUAACUACGUG